rnacentral:rRNA from 1 species
GACGAACGCUGGCGGCGUGCCUAAUACAUGCAAGUUGAGCGCUGAAGGUUGGUACUUGUACCAACUGGAUGAGCAGCGAACGGGUGAGUAACGCGUGGGGAAUCUGCCUUUGAGCGGGGGACAACAUUUGGAAACGAAUGCUAAUACCGCAUAAAAACUUUAAACACAAGUUUUAAGUUUGAAAGAUGCAAUUGCAUCACUCAAAGAUGAUCCCGCGUUGUAUUAGCUAGUUGGUGAGGUAAAGGCUCACCAAGGCGAUGAUACAUAGCCGACCUGAGAGGGUGGUCGGCCACAUUGGGACUGAGACCCGGCCCAAACUCCUACGGGAAGCAGCAGUAGGGAAUCUUCGGAAAUGGACGAAAGGCUGACCGAGCAACGCCGGGUGAGUGAAGAAGGGUUUCGGAUCGUAAAACUCUGUUGGUAGGGAAGAACGUUGGUGAGAGUGGAAAGCUCAUCAAGUGACGGUAACUACCCAGAAAGGGACGGCUAACUACGUG